rnacentral:rRNA from 1 species
GGCGGCGUGCCUAAUACAUGCAAGUAGGACGCUGAAGGAGGAGCUUGCUUCUCUGGAUGAGUUGCGAACGGGUGAGUAACGCGUAGGUAACCUGCCUGGUAGCGGGGGAUAACUAUUGGAAACGAUAGCUAAUACCGCAUAAAAGUAGAUGUUGCAUGACAUUUGCUUAAAAGGUGCAAUUGCAUCACUACCAGAUGGACCUGCGUUGUAUUAGCUAGUUGGUGGGGUAACGGCUCACCAAGGCGACGAUACAUAGCCGACCUGAGAGGGUGAUCGGCCACACUGGGACUGAGACACGGCCCAGACUCCUACGGGAGGCAGCAGUAGGGAAUCUUCGGCAAUGGACGGAAGUCUGACCGAGCAACGCCGCGUGAGUGAAGAAGGUUUUCGGAUCGUAAAGCUCUGUUGUAAGAGAAGAACGAGUGUGAGAGUGGAAAGUUCACACUGUGAC